UACAGAGGGGGCAAGCGUUGUUCGGAAUUACUGGGCGUAAAGGGCGCGUAGGCGGCCUGUUAAGUCGAACGUGAAAUCCCCGGGCUCAACCCGGGAACUGCGUCCGAUACUGGCAGGCUUGAAUUCGGGAGAGGGAUGCGGAAUUCCAGGUGUAGCGGUGAAAUGCGUAGAUAUCUGGAGGAACACCGGUGGCGAAGGCGGCAUCCUGGACCGAGAUUGACGCUGAGGCGCGAAAGCCAGGGGAGC
rnacentral:rRNA from 1 species